AGGGUUUGAUCCUGGCUCAGGAUGAACGUUGGCGACGUGCCUUAUGCAUGCAAGUCGAACGAUCCGGUAGUUCGCAAGGGUUGCCGGAGAGUGGCGAACGGCUGAGUAACGCGUAAGUGACCUACCCCUAAGUGGGGAACAACCCUGAGAAAUCGGGGCUAAUACCGCAUAUGAUGGCCUGGGUAGAUCCUGGUCAUUAAAGCCGCAAGGCGCUUGGGGAGGGGCUUGCGUCCGAUUAGCUUGUUGGUGGGGUAAUGGCCUACCAAGGCGACGAUCGGUAGCUGGUCUGAGAGGAUGGCCAGCCAGACGGGGACUGAGAUACGGCCCUGACUCCUACGGGAGGCAGCAGCAAGGAAUCUUGCGCAAUGGGCGAAAGCCUGACGCAGCGACGUCGCGUGGGGGAAGAAGGCCUUCGGGUUGUAAAACCCCUUUUAUCGGGGAAGAAUGAUGACGGUACCCGAUGAAUAAGUCUCGGCUAACUACGUGCCAGCAGCCGCGGUAAUACGUAGGAGGCAAACGUUAUCCGGAUUUACUGGGCGUAAAGAGGGCGCGGGCGGUACUCUAAGUCGGGUGUGAAAGGUCCUGACUCAAUCAGGAUAUGUCAUCCGAUACUGGAGGACUAGAGGGCAGCAGAGGGAGGUGGAAUUCCCGGUGUAGCGGUGAUAUGCGUAGAUAUCGGGAGGAACACCAGUGGCGAAGGCGGCCUCCUGGGCUGUACCUGACGCUUAGGCCCGAAAGCGUGGGGAGCGAACCGGAUUAGAUACCCGGGUAGUCCACGCCCUAAACGGUGGAUACUAGGUAUGGGGGGUAUCGACCCUCUCCGUGCCGCAGUUAACGCUUUAAGUAUCCCGCCUGGGGACUACGAUCGCAAGAUUAAAACUCAAAGGAAUUGACGGGGGCCCGCACAAGCAGCGGAGCGUGUGGUUUAAUUCGAUGCUACGCGAAGAACCUCACCAGGGUUUGACAUGCUGGAAGUAGGAACCUGAAAGGGGGACGACCUGUCAAGCCAGGAGCCAGCACAGGUGCUGCAUGACUGUCGUCAGCUCGUGCCGUGAGGUGUCGGGUUAAGUCCCGUAACGAGCGCAACCCUCGUCCCAUGUUAUAUUCUCAUGUGAGACUGCCCCGUAAACGGGGAGGAAGGUGGGGAUGACGUCAAGUCAGCAUGGCCCUUAUGCCCUGGGCUACACACACGCUACAAUGGGCGGUACAAAGGGCUGCGAAGGAGCGAUCCGGAGCCAAUCCCAAAAAAACCGUCCUCAGUUCGGAUUGCAGGCUGAAACCCGCCUGCAUGAAGUCGGAGUUGCUAGUAACCGCAGGUCAGCAUACUGCGGUGAAUACGUUCCCGGGCCUUGUACACACCGCCCGUCACGUCAUGGAAGCCGGUAACGCUUGAAGUCGAUGGGCCAACCCUUCGGGGAGGCAGUCGCCGAGGGUGGGACUGGUAACUGGGACGAAGUCGUAACAAGGUA
rnacentral:rRNA from 1 species